GAGAGACGACAGGUUCAAAGUUACCCUUUCUUUCGAAUCCUGCGUCUCUAAACGUUCACGCAGGCGUGUGUUUCUUUCGUCUGUUCAAGCUGAAUGAAGCGUUCGAUAACAAAGUCAUCUGGAACACGAAGAACGUUUACUUAAGACGGUCCUGGGGCUUUUAUACUUUGGCCUUGGCGCGGCCACUGCGAAGGGCAGCCUCCGGUCACGUAUGGUGCUGGACGCCACUCAACUCCAAGUCGGUGACAUGAUUCCUGAAGAUGGUGCCACGACUUGUCAACACAUACGGCCCCAGCACAGCAGAGAGAAGAGACCUCAUGCUGAGGCAGCAGGGACACUUACAAUGCAGCAGCGAUCGCCCCCUCCAAGCGCUCCUCGCUUCGACAAUGGAAGGGAACCUCUGUUUCCCCCAAAACGCUAUGCCUUAAGCGCUGCUGUGAGCGGAGCGCCUGACCCACGCUGCCUUCCCAUGCCACCUGCAUCCUGGCUGAUGGGCGCGGAAUUGACUCGACGAAGAAAUAGGUGUGUGUCAUGGCCACCUCUUCGACGACAGUGAUGUUUGUGGACGCCGGAGUUUUUAGGUCUCGUGAGCGCGAAAUAAAGAUUUGUUUUUAUGCGAA